UACGUAGGGGGCAAGCGUUGUCCGGAUUUAUUGGGCGUAAAGAGCGUGUAGGCGGCCUUACAGGUCAGCUGUGAAAACUCGAGGCUCAACCUCGAGACGUCGGUUGAAACCGUAAGUCUAGAGUCCGGAAGAGGAGAGUGGAAUUCCCGGUGUAGCGGUGAAAUGCGCAGAUAUCGGGAAGAACACCCGUGGCGAAGGCGGCUCUCUGGGACGGUACUGACGCUGAGACGCGAAAGCGUGGGGAGCGAACAGG
rnacentral:rRNA from 1 species